rnacentral:rRNA from 1 species
GGAGUUAGCCGGUGCUUCUUCUGUGAGUGAUGUCCUUCCUGCCGGUUAUUGACCCGCAGGCCUUCUUCCUCACUGAAAGUGCUUUACAACCCGAAGGCCUUCUUCACACACGCGGCAUGGCUGGAUCAGGGUUGCCCCCAUUGUCCAAUAUUCCCCACUGCUGCCUCCCGUAGGAGUCUGGGCCGUGUCUCAGUCCCAGUGUGGCUGAUCAUCCUCUCAGACCAGCUACGGAUCGUCGCCUUGGUGAGCCGUUACCUCACCAACCAGCUAAUCCGACAUAGGCUCAUCCGAUAGCGCGAGGCCCGAAGGUCCCCCGNUUUCCCCCGUAGGGCGUAUGCGGUAUUAGCCUGGGUUUCCCCAGGUUAUCCCCCGACUACCGGGCAGAUUCCUAUGCAUUACUCACCCGUCCGCCGCUCGCCACCAGGGAGCAAGCUCCCCGUGCUGCCGCUCGACUUGCAUGUGUUAGGCCUGCCGCCAGCGUUCAAUCUGAGCCAGUGAUACAAACUCUAGA